rnacentral:rRNA from 1 species
GACGAACGCUGGCGGCGUGCUUAACACAUGCAAGUCGACCGAGUGGCGAACGGGUGAGUAAUCCGUGGGUCACCUGCCCUCUUUUUGGGAUAACGGUCGGAAACGGCUGCUAAUACUGGAUAGUGGGGGAUGGUCUCGCGGCCUAUCAGCUUGUUGGUGGGGUGAUGGCCUACCAAGGCAUUUACGGAUAGCCGGCCGGAGAGGGUGAACGUGCACAUUGGGAAUGAGGACCGGCGCAGACUCCUACGGGAGGCAGCAGUGGGGAAUGUUGCACAAUGGGCGCAAGCCUGAUGCAGCGACGCCGCGUGGGGGAUGAAGGCUUUCGGGUUGUAAACCUCUUUCGCGAUCGAAAGGGUAGGUGGAGAAGAAGCGCCGGCUAACUACGUGCCAGCAGCCGCGGUAAUAC